rnacentral:misc_RNA from 1 species
UUUCCUUUAUUAACUUUCGAGAAUUAUUAGAUAUGUUCUUCAUUACGCAUUCAAAUAUUAACAUUACGUAGAAUGGUGAAACUUAAAUUAUGCGAUACAGUUAGGAUAGUUGGGUUAAUUUAAAGUCGUAACUUAAUCAAAAUGAAUAAAGUCGAGAUGAUUAAUAAGUAGACCGCGGAUUUUUAUGCAUUAUUGUGUUGUAAACUUCAUAGUAUAUAUUUUACAUAUUUUUUUAUAUUACUACUCAGUCGAGUGAUUAAAGAUAUAUUUUAUGUUAUGCAUGAAUUAUUUGAAAAUAAUAUUUCUUACUUUUCUUGUAGCAGUUUAUAAAAUACAUUAAAUGCUCAUACUUCAUAAAAUAAAGAAUUAAUUAUGAUUCCCAAUAAUUAUUAAUUUCAUAAACUUUUGAAAAUCAUUUUGUACAAAACCAAAAAGUAUGUGAAAACAGGCACUAUAGUUAUUAAAAAGUUGUAGCUAUAUUGAGAAUUAAUAUUGUGUACACAUUUAUGAAUAAUAACUAAAAACGAACUUUCAGUCACAUUCUUAAAGUUUUCUGAAAAUGUAUUGAAAAUGUAUUGUAAAUAUGAAAAUAUUUAUGAAAGAAAUUUAUAAUUAUUAAUGAUUGGGAAUCAUUGGUCUACUGAGAUCACAUUUUUACAGUUCUGAGAUCAUAUUUGAGAACAAUAACAGUUAGAUAGUUUGUAGAAAAAUAUAGAAUAACAAUAAAAUCUAUUCUUUAAGGAAAUAUUGAUUUGUAUUUUAAAAAAGAUGUCAAUUAUCCACACAUUGUUUCAUUCUCUUUUUACCUGAACUAUCCAAAACAAAAUAUAAUUAUAUGAGUAAAAUAUAAAAAGGUAUUACAGAAAUUUAUAAUUAAAGAAUUACGGCUAUUUACCGCAGGAAAAAUAAUACCUUUCAUAAAAUGAAAAUAGUAAAGUUAUCGAUUUUACUUAUAAUAUCUUCAGAUUUUUAAAUUGAUUUUGCUUCUUAUUACAUGGAUAAAAUUUGGCUGGGCAAUAUUAACACACAGAAAUAUAUGAUGAAUUAAAUUUUAAAACAAAAAUACUUAUAAGUUAUUGUUUAAGUUAUUAUUAAAAAUUUAUCUCUAAAAUAAAGCCAGACAGUUUCUUUUAUUAUAUUAUAUAUAAAAUAUCAUGUUAUUAUGUUUUAAUAUUAUAUGUUAUUGCAAUUUCUUUUUCUUAUUUCUAUAGAUAAACUUUUAAUUUAAUUUUUAGCUAAAAUAUAAUAUGUAGC